GUCGAACGGCAGCAUAGGAGCUUGCUCCUGAUGGCGAGUGGCGAACGGGUGAGUAAUAUAUCGGAACGUGCCCUAGAGUGGGGGAUAACUAGUCGAAAGACUAGCUAAUACCGCAUACGAUCUACGGAUGAAAGUGGGGGAUCGCAAGACCUCAUGCUCCUGGAGCGGCCGAUAUCUGAUUAGCUAGUUGGUGGGGUAAAAGCUCACCAAGGCGACGAUCAGUAGCUGGUCUGAGAGGACGACCAGCCACACUGGGACUGAGACACGGCCCAGACUCCUACGGGAGGCAGCAGUGGGGAAUUUUGGACAAUGGGGGCAACCCUGAUCCAGCAAUGCCGCGUGAGUGAAGAAGGCCUUCGGGUUGUAAAGCUCUUUUGUCAGGGAAGAAACGGUUCUGGAUAAUACCUGGGACUAAUGACGGUACCUGAAGAAUAAGCACCGGCUAACUACGUGCCAGCAGCCGCGGUAAUACGUAGGGUGCAAGCGUUAAUCGGAAUUACUGGGCGUAAAGCGUGCGCAGGCGGUUGUGUAAGUCAGAUGU
rnacentral:rRNA from 1 species